UACGUAGGUGGCAAGCGUUGUCCGGAUUUACUGGGCGUAAAGGGCGUGCAGGCGGUCUGUUAAGUCUAGGGUGAAAGCUCCCGGCUCAACUGGGAGAGGCCCUUGGAUACUGGCGGACUUGAGGGAGGCAGAGGAGUAUGGAAUUCCGGGUGUAGUGGUGAAAUGCGUAGAGAUCCGGAGGAACCCCAGAGGCGAAGGCGGCGUCCUGGCCCAUUUCUGACGUUCAGACAUGACAGCAUGGGGAGCGAACGGG
rnacentral:rRNA from 1 species